rnacentral:rRNA from 1 species
GACGGAGGUCCCGAGCGUUGUUCGGAAUUAUUGGGCUUAAAGCGCGUGUAGGCGGAACGGUAAGUACCUUGUGAAAUCCCCGGACUCAAUCCGGGAACUGCUUGGUAUACUGCCGAUCUUGAGGCAGGUAGGGGUCACUGGAACCUUAGGUGGAGCGGUGAAAUGCGUAGAUAUCUAAGGGAACGCCUGUGGCGAAAGCGGGUGACUGGGCCUGUUCUGACGCUGAGACGCGAAAGCGUAGGGAGCAAAC